AAGAGUGUUAAAACUCCCAACCCAUGUGAACUUUACCUUCCCCGUCUCUCCGGAUUCGGGCGUUGCUUCGGCCUCCCCCGGGAGGUCGGAGGUACCAAACUUUUGUUUUUACAGUAUCUCUGAGGCCUAUUGGCAACUAUAA
rnacentral:misc_RNA from 1 species